UUAAGUUUAUUAUGAUAAAGUGGAAUGUAAUAAUAAAUAUUGGUAGUGAGCAAUCCAUAAAUUUUGAGCAUUUUCAACUUCUGAUGAUUUCUGACUUACGACAGUGGAAUUCAAAAUUCUUGGAAUUGAACUCUGUCAUAAGUCAAGGACUACUAGACCAUUUUGAUUCUAAGAGUGUUUUUAAUCCAAAUCAGCAAUUUUCAGUAUUUCAAAGAGCACUUUGUCUAUUUGCAUUAUAAUUUAUCAUUUCAUUGUAAAAUUUAGCACUGUUUAUGUUAUAGUUAAUUAAAUAGAAAUGUUCUGUUCACAGUUCCUAAACAGAAAUUAAUAGUCAUAGCAAGAUUACAAUAUUAUAUAAG
rnacentral:lncRNA from 1 species